UAGGCUUCAGCUGGGAGAGGACAUCAACCUUGAGAUGAACUUGAUGAUUCAAGGUUACUUAUGGGUUUGAAAAAUAAUGCUCAGCUAAUGUGCAUCAUGACAAGUUGAGGUUUCGGCAAUCUUUCAGAAUCCAUGUGUUUUAAUCAAGUGAUGGGACAAAUGAUAAUACAAGUCAAGCAAGAUGUGAGUGUACGCAUGCAAAUGCCUGGCCAAACACACGAACCGGGGUGAUUUCUGCCAUUAAACUAUGCAUGCAGACUGGGGACCUAGUUAAGGAUAUUGUUGAAUGAACAACGCUAGGAUUUGCCUAGAUUGCUAGACUCGGAUCUAAAUAUCUGUGGUUUUUCAGUUCGAGUCUAACAUCUCCACUACACAUGGUUGUAUGGUUUCAGAAUAGCAGCCCUCGGCUUCUGCGGCCCCAAUAUUCUGAGAAUGUCUCAGGGAGUAGAAAACCCAAAGCGGGAUUUCACCCCAGUUAGUAGAUUGGUUGUGAUAGUGCAGGUCUGAAUCCUUCUGACCUGCACACACCACUGCAAAACGUCCCGUGUUAUCAAUACCCAAUUCACAUUCUUCGUUUUUUGAUCAUACAGGUUUCCUCCUUUCACAUACGCUGUUAUUAAAUCUCAAACACA
rnacentral:lncRNA from 1 species